rnacentral:rRNA from 1 species
UACGGGGGGAGCAAGCGUUGUUCGGAUUUACUGGGCGUAAAGGGCGCGUAGGCGGCCACCGAAGGUCGAGUGUGAAAUCUCCGGGCUUAACCCGGAAAGGUCAGCCGAUACUGCGGGGCUAGAGUGCAGAAGGGGCACCUGGAAUUCUUGGUGUAGCGGUGAAAUGCGUAGAUAUCAAGAGGAACACCUGCGGCGAAGGCGGGUUGCUGGGCCGACACUGACGCUGAGGCGCGAAAGCUAGGGGAGCGAACGGG